rnacentral:rRNA from 1 species
UCUGCAACCCGACUCCACGAAGUUGGAUUCNCUAGUAAUCGCGCAUCAGCCAUGGCGCGGUGAAUACGUUCCCGGGCCUUGUACACACCGCCCGUCAAGCCAUGGGAGCCGGGGGCGCCUGAAGUCCGGGACCGCGAGGACCGGCCUAAGGCGAAACUGGUGACUGGGGCUAAGUCGUAACAAGGUAGC